GGAGGGGAGAGAAACAGGAUGCGGUGGCGUGCUUGCAGAGGAGGUGGAGGCAACAUCUGAUUUUGCUUCCUUGGUUUCUCUUGGACAUGAGUUUGUCACCAUGUGGAUUCCUGCUGUAUAGAGACCCACUUCCCUUGCCCCUUUCACAUCUACACACUGCACCCUGCCACGGAAACUGUGGAAACUGGCCACAGAGGCUCUGCAGAGCACAUGGUAGAGACCUCUUGCAUAGGAUCAGAGAAACUGCCCUUACUGAGGCCCAGAACAGAUAAGGAAGAGAACCCAGUGAAAAGGGAAAAAGUCCAAAGAAGCAAUUAAUUCCUGGAAGAAGCUUUCUUAUUUUUCAGCAGGGGAGGAAGCAUUUUCUGUCCUAAAGCAUAAGAAAACUGAAUUCUAUUCCUCACUCAGCUAUAGACUCCCUAUGUGACCUGGAGAGAGUUACUCAAGGAUUCUGUACCUCAAUUUCCCCUUCUAUAAAAGCAGUGAUAAUAGAUGCCUACAUCUUAGGAGUGUUGCAAGGCUAAAUUCAUUACUAUUUGUAUAGUGUUUUGAAACAUCCAGAUGGGAAAUAUUAUAGAAGUGCAAUUUACUAUUUCAAAAUUAUCAUCUCAGAUGCUAUGUUAUGAUUAAAAAACAAAAGCAAAAAAAAACAGAAGGUAUUUAAUGGUAACCCCUCCAUUUUCCACAUAGCAGAGGAAAUGCAGAAAAUGGACAAAAUGCUUAUUUAAGACUUUCAAUCUAGUUUCAAUAUUCUGCUCUCCCUGCAUGUGUGAACAUCUCCUAUGCUGUGGUAUAAUGCUGUGUACAGGUGUGCACCUACAUCCACAUGGAUAGUUUGUCCUUAAUUUGGAAGGCCAGGUUGUAUGUAAUGGAGGAACCGUCACCUAGAUGCAAGACUUCAGGGUAAUUAUGUACAGGCUAACAAAAUUCCUGACA